ACUUGUCAUCUUUAUAUCUCCACCUGUGCACCUUUUGUAGAUCUGGAUAUCUUUCUGAAUGCCUGGCAUUCGGGUUUGAGGAUUGACUUUUGUCUUUCCUUAUAUUUCCAGGCCUAUGUUUUCUUCAUAUACACCAAUUUAUGUUAUAGAAUGUAAUGAAAAAGGGCCUUUGUGCCUACAAACCUUAUACAACUUUCAGCAACGGAUCUCUUGGCUCUCGCAUCGAUGAAGAACGCAGCGAAAUGCGAUAAGUAAUGUGAAUUGCAGAAUUCAGUGAAUCAUCGAAUCUUUGAACGCACCUUGCGCUCCUUGGUAUUCCGAGGAGCAUGCCUGUUUGAGUGUCAUUAAUAUAUCAACCUCCUCAGGUUUUGACUUGUCGAGUGUUUGGAUGUGGGGGUCUUUUGCUGGUCUCUUUUGAGGUCGGCUCCCCUAAAAUGCAUUAGCGGAACAAUUUGUUGACCCGUUCAUUGGUGUGAUAACUAUCUACGCUUUUGACGUGAAACAGGUUCAGCUUCUAACAGUCCAUUGACUUGGACAAAUUUUCAUUAAUGUGACCUCAAAUCAGGUAGGACUACCCGCUGAACUUAA
rnacentral:rRNA from 1 species